AGCAGCAGCCGCGGUAAUACGUAGGUGGCAAGCGUUGUCCGGAAUUAUUGGGCGUAAAGGGCUCGCAGGCGGUUUCUUAAGUCUGAUGUGGAAGCCCCCGGCUCAACCGGGGAGGGUCAUUGGAAACUGGGAAACUUGAGUGCAGAAGAGGAGAGUGGAAUUCCACGUGUAGCGGUGAAAUGCGUAGAGAUGUGGAGGAACACCAGUGGCGAAGGCGACUCUCUGGUCUGUAACUGACGCUGAGGAGCGAAAGCGUGGGGAGCGAACAGGAUUAGAUACCCCUGUAGUCCCUGUCUCUUAUAC
rnacentral:rRNA from 1 species